rnacentral:lncRNA from 1 species
CCCCGCGACAUUUCCGGGCUGGGAGAAGCCGAAGCCCGUAACCUCCAGUUCCCCGCAGCUUGAGGCCACCAGCGCCUGGAGAUUUUCAAACACACUCAAAGAGCUGGGAGGAGCCUGGCGGGGCCACGAAGGAGGGCAGUACUGACUCAUCACGAACCUCCAGGGCCCGGAGCCAGGGCGGCCUGGGCCCAGAGCCUCAGUCCCCUGCAGCCAGGAACUACUCCAAGGAGAUGCUGGGAAGUAGCCUGGGAAUGGCCAUCCCUCUCCCAUCAUUUCUCUUCCCUCAAUCCUGCUUCAGCUUCUGUCAGCCUGUGAAGGUCCUGCAGAGUGAGGUUAAGCCUUUUGUAAAAGAAAUCGCACAUCCUAAGUUCGAAGCCUGGACCUGGCCAACAUCUCAGCAAGAUGAAAGCCUUGGCCCUUACAAAUGGCUUUUGUCUCAGCCUCGAAACCCUCAUGUGACACCCUGAGGAGAGAGAAAACUCUUAAUCACAUUCGAACUGGAAGAGAGAGAGAGAGACAGAGACAGAGAGACAGAGAGACAGACUUCCUAGCCUUUGUCUUCUGCUAAAUCUUCUGCCCGGGCAGUCUCUGAACAUUCUGGAUGAAGAACUCAUAUUAUAAAAGUCAGGAGGGAGACCCACAGCACCAACACCUUAAUACCAGUGACCAAUGACAGUCGUCCCAUUGUCAGGACACUGAGCCUGUAACUCGCCACCUUCCCUGCUAGCUAGGGGUCAUUCUGUCCCUAAUCUCUCACGUAAACCUCCAGGUCCUGAAGGGUCUUAAGGGUGUCUCCUUUGUUCUCAGCAGACCUCUGAGUCACAGGGACCCCAGGCCUUUCCCCCAGCUUCCUUCAACUCAUCCAAUCCUUCCCCCUCUUCUCUGCAGGCCAGCUUCAAAAUAUUCCCAAUGAUUAGAACAUGUCC